GCCAGCGCCUGUUAAAGGGACAGCAGCUGACUGCCUCCUCCCCUCGGCUCCCCGGGCGGGGCUGGGCCGGGCCGGGCCGGGCCGGGCGAGCGGGCCCCGGCAGCAGGGGGAGGAGCGGGGCCCUGGACGGCUCCCCACGGAGCUGGCCCGGGGACCCCUGCCUGCGGCGGGAAGGAAAAGCCCCGCUUGUCUCCGGGACCGGCCUGCCCGGAUCCGGCUUCGUAAGCGUCUGCCCGGCGCGGGGAAUUUAACCGCUUCGUCCGCCGGCGAGUGGGGGCGGCCCCAGGGCGCUGGGCUGGGAGGGGCCCGUUGGGAAGGUGAAAGUAUCAGCUCCAGGUCCGCGCACGGCUCCCCGGCGGCCCCUUCGCCUCCAGCUCCGACUGCCGCAGAGGGAGAGCGCGCCAGCGAGCCCCGGAGCCCGGCUCCCGUCCCGGACGCCUGGAGAAUUCCAUGGUGUCCUUUAGGAGAGAUGUAAAAGGUAGAAUAUUGCAGCCGGCCAGAAGUGUUGGGGACGAAGCAUCACCCACCAUGGGAUGGGCCUCAUUUAACUCAAUCAAGAGUGAGAACAAGCAACAUCUUUGGGCCCAGAUAGGCCUUGUGUUUACAGUCAGGACACUGGAGCAUCAACAAAAGCAAAAGAACCCCAAGACAAGACACUAUGACCUUCAGGUCUUCUUCGGAGUCCCUGGGUCCCAGGCUAGAGUCCCCCAUCCUGUAAGUACAGCCUCCGUUCUUUGUUCCCAGGUGUGUACAUUUACCCAUGUUAAAAUCUGCAUUGUUUGCUUGCAGCCAGCUUACCAAAUGAUCCAGAUCACUUUGUCCUCUUCAUUACUUACCAUGCUCCCAAUUUUUGUGUCAUCUGCAAACUUGAUCAGUGACUAUUUUGUUUUCUUCCAGGUCAUUGAUAAAAAUGUUAAUUAGUGUAAAUCCUAGAACCAAUUCCUGUGAUAUCCCAGUAGAAACUGACCUGAACAAUGAUGAUUCCCUUUUACAGUUACGUUUUGAGACCUAUCAGUCAGUCAGUUUUUAAUCCAUGUAAUGUGUGCCAUGGUAAUUUGAUAUCUUUCUAGUUUUGUAACCAAAAUGAUGUGUGGUACCAAGUCAAAUGUGGUAUGGAAGUCUACGUAUAUUACAUCAAUACUGUUAUCUUUAUCAACCAAAUUUGUAAUCUCAUUUAAAAAUACAUAUGUCAAGUUAG